UGGAGAGAUGGCUGAGUGGUCGAUAGCGGCAGAUUGCUAAUCUGUUGUAUGAUUCAAUUCAUACCGAGGGUUCGAAUCCCUCUCUCUCCGU
rnacentral:tRNA from 1 species